rnacentral:rRNA from 1 species
CAGCCGCCGCGGUAAUACGUAGGGUGCGAGCGUUGUCCGGAAUUAUUGGGCGUAAAGAGCUCGUAGGCGGUGUGUCGCGUCGGCCGUGAAAACCUGGGGCUCAACUCUGGGCGUGCGGUCGAUACGGGCAUCACUUGAGUUCGGCAGGGGAGACUGGAAUUCCUGGUGUAGCGGUGAAAUGCGCAGAUAUCAGGAGGAACACCGGUGGCGAAGGCGGGUCUCUGGACCGAUACUGACGCUGAGGAGCGAAAGCAUGGGUAGCGAACAGGAUUAGAUACCCGCGUAGUCCCUGUCUCUUAUA